UAUCCUGUGAGGUGUAUUCGUUUGGUAAAUUCCAUUGGCCUUUUGUCACUGGACGUUCUAAGUUUCUCCUGAACUUUGAAAGCACAAAAUUCACACCAUCACAGCGGGACGCAGAAGACAAUUUUUAUUGUAGUUCCAGUAAUUUUUCUGCAUUCUAUUGCUUCGCCGGGAGAGCUGAGAGGGAGGGAGAUGGAGAGAGAGGAAGAAAUGGGGCUGGAAAGAACGCUAUCAAUUGAGCCGCCUCCAGCUAAAUAGAUCCCAUAUGUCUAUAGAUUCAACUGAUUGGAAACAGAAUGUGGGAUGAAAUCGUUGCACCUGUAUCUUAAAAGAGGAGUUCUUUGUGACUGGACCUUGCUUCUAUCUGCUUCUCCUUCCUAAUAAAAAUCCUAGUCGCUAUGAUUUUUUUCUCUUC